GAAAGAUGGUUUCGGCUAUCGCUUACAGAUGGGCCCGCGGUGCAUUAGCUAGUUGGUAGGGUAAUGGCCUACCAAGGCAACGAUGCAUAGCCGACCUGAGAGGGUGAUCGGCCACACUGGGACUGAGACACGGCCCAGACUCCUACGGGAGGCAGCAGUAGGGAAUCUUCCGCAAUGGACGAAAGUCUGACGGAGCAACGCCGCGUGUAUGAAGAAGGUUUUCGGAUCGUAAAGUACUGUUGUUAGAGAAGAACAAGGAUAAGAGUAACUGCUUGUCCCUUGACGGUAUCUAACCAGAAAGCCACGGCUAACUACGUGCCAGCAGCCGCGGUAAUACGUAGGUGGCAAGCGUUGUCCGGAUUUAUUGGGCGUAAAGCGCGCGCAGGCGGUCUUUUAAGUCUGAUGUGAAAGCCCCCGGCUUAACCGGGGAGGGUCA
rnacentral:rRNA from 1 species